rnacentral:misc_RNA from 1 species
GUGAAUAUUAGGACGUUCAAUUUAACUUGAAGUCCGAACUCCCACUUUCUAACCCUGUGCAUUUGUUUUGGCUAGUAGGAUAUCUCGGUAUCCGAACACCUCUUCAUUUACAAACACUAAGUCUAUGAAUGUUUAAAUUUUAUAACAAUAUA